GGACUACCCGGGUUUCUAAUCCUGUUUGCUCCCCACGCUUUCGUAGUUGAGUGUCAGUACCUGUCCAGGUCGCCGCCUUCGCCACUGGUGUUCCUCCCGAUCUCUACGCAUUUCACCGCUACACCGGGAAUUCCACGACCCUCUCCAGGACUCGAGUCUGACCGUUUCUGGGGCACUUCUUGAGUUAAGCUCAAGGCUUUCACCCCAGACAAAUCAGACCACCUACCUACCCUUUACGCCCAAUAAUUCCGAGCAACGCUCGCACCCCUCGUAUUACCGCGGCUGCUGGCAC
rnacentral:rRNA from 1 species